GAUGAACGCUGGCGGCGUGCCUAAUACAUGCAAGUCGAGCGAACAGACGAGGAGCUUGCUCCUCUGACGUUAGCGGCGGACGGGUGAGUAACACGUGGAUAACCUACCUAUAAGACUGGGAUAACUUCGGGAAACCGGAGCUAAUACCGGAUAAUAUAUUGAACCUCAUUGUUCAAUAGUGAAAGACGGUUUUGCUGUCACUUAUAGAUGGAUCCGCGCCGCAUUAGCUAGUUGGUAAGGUAACGGCUUACCAAGGCGACGAUGCGUAGCCGACCUGAGAGGGUGAUCGGCCACACGGGAACUGAGACACGGUCCAGACGCCUACGGGAGGAAGCAGUAGGGAAUCUUCCGCAAUGGGCGAAAGCCGGACGGAGCAACGCCGCGUGAGGGAUGAAGGUCUUCGGAUCGUAAAACUCUGUUAUUAGGGAAGAACAAAUGAGUAAGUAACUAUGCACGUCUUGACGGUACCUAAUCAGAAAGCCACGGCUAACUACGUG
rnacentral:rRNA from 1 species